rnacentral:rRNA from 1 species
GAUGAACGCUAGCGGCAGGCCUAAUACAUGCAAGUCGGACGGGAUUUGGGAGCUUGCUCCUAAUGAGAGUGGCGCACGGGUGCGUAACACGUAUGUAACCUACCUUAAUCAGGGGGAUAGCCUCUCGAAAGAGAGAUUAACACCGCAUAAUAUAUUUUUAUGGCAUCGUAGAAAUAUCAAAUAUUUAUAGGAUUAAGAUGGGCAUGCGGAACAUUAGCUAGUUGGUAAGGUAACGGCUUACCAAGGCUGCGAUGUUUAGGGGAUCUGAGAGGAUGACCCCCCACACUGGUACUGAGACACGGACCAGACUCCUACGGGAGGCAGCAGUAAAGAAUAUUGGUCAAUGGGCGCAAGCCUGAACCAGCCAUGCCGCGUGCAGGAAGACGGCCCUAUGGGUUGUAAACUGCUUUUGUACCGGAAUAAACCCUUUUGCGUGUAGAAGGCUGAAUGUACGGUAAGAAUAAGGAUCGGCUAACUCCGUGCCAGCCGCCGCCGUAA